GAUGAACGCUGGCGGCGUGCCUAAUACAUGCAAGUCGAGCGAACAGACUAGGAGCUUGCUCCUCUGACGUUAGCGGCGGACGGGUGAGUAACACGUGUAUAACCUACCUAUAAGACUGGGAUAACUUUGGGAAACCGGAGCUAAUACCGGAUAAUAUAUUGAACCGCAUGGUUCAAUAGUGAAAGACGGUUUUGCUGUCACUUAUAGAUGGAUCCGCGCCGCAUUAGCUAGUUGGUAAGGUAACGGCUUACCAAGGCAACGAUGCGUAGCCGACCUGAGAGGGUGAUCGGCCGCACUGGAACUGGAACACGGACCAGACUCCUACGGGAGGCAGCAGUAGGGAAUCUUCCGCAAUAGGCGAAAGCCUGACAGAGCAGCGCCGCGUGAGUGAUAGAGGUCUUCGGAUCGUAAAACUCUGUUAUUAGGGAAGAACAAAUGUGUAAGUAACUAUGCACGUAUUGACGGUACCUAAUCAGAAAGCCACGGCUAACUACGUG
rnacentral:rRNA from 1 species